rnacentral:lncRNA from 1 species
GCAAACGAGUCAGGCAUCGUGGUAGGACCUGGCGAGUGGGGCCGGGGAGAGCGGGACGCCUGGAUCGGGAACUUGUCGCAUUCACAUUGGCUGCUAGGAGGCCUCGGCGACCACUUCCGGAUCCGGGGCGGGGGUCGCAACUCCCAGCCCUUGCUCAGAGGGCUGAACUAGAAUUCCCAGAAGCCUCUGCGGCCGCCUUCCUGCUCCUUCACUCCUGCUUCCCCCACAAAUAACAGCAUUGAAGACUGUUCCUUUCUGGGUGAAGGAGAAUCACGUAGCAAUUGGGAGCAAGAUGCAUCCAUGUAACCCAGUACUGGAGGUCAAGAUGGAGACAAUCUCCACAGCCACCAUGGCCUUUCCCUGAGUGCUACUAUAACUCAGGAGGAAAGCCACCCAGAUACUGCAGAACACCAACAUGCUGAAGGCAAACCAAAGAGAAGAAAGACUUUGUGCUUGAGAGUUGAAAAUGAGACCACCUUGCCAUGUCAAUUCAGGUCUCUUAAAGUCUUCCCUUGCAGGAGAAGAGGGAAGUGAAAAGAUCUUCUUGUGAACAGGGUCUGGUGUGGACCUCCAGCAAACUCCAACAGAUUAAUUCAUUGACAGAAUGGGAUUGUCUUGUGAAAGGGAAAUAUCUUGGAUCCCUUCAAGCUGGGAACCCCUCAGGGCAAAUCUGCCUACUUCUGUCAAUUCAUCAAUCUCAUUCUCCGUCCAGUUUUGUGCCCUUGCUGGAGAGGAGUUGCCAUCAUUUGUCAUACACAAGUAUCAAUAGCCAAAUUGAUCACGCAAAAGAAACGAUAUCAGAGAUUGAAGAUCAACUUACUAAAAUAAGGCAUGAAGAAAAGAUUAGAGAAAAAAGAAUGAAAAGGAACUAACAAAGCCUCCAAGAAAUAUGAGACUAUGUGAAAAGACCGAACUACAGUUGAUUGGUGUACCUGAAAGUGACAGGGAGAAUGGAACCAAGUUGGAAAACACAUUUCAGGAUAUUAUCCAGGAGAACUUCCCCAACCUAGCAAGACAGGCCAACAUUCAAAUUCAGGUAAUACAGAGAACACCACUAAGAUACUCCUCGAGAAGAGCAACCCCAAGACAAAUAAUUGUCAGAUUCUCCAAGGUUGAAAUAUAUACAAUAUAUUCAAUAUAAGCUCUCAGUAUUUAAAAUUUAGUAGGGCUUGGUGUCAUUUUUAGACCCAGGAGUCAAGGCCCUGUAACUCAAUGUCACAAGGACUUUAAAAGCACAUACAGGAAGAUAACAAAUGUAAUAACCUUCAUUAAAAAUUUUUUUAACCUCAGUUUUUUCUAAGCAAUAAAACAUAAAAUCUUCUAGGCAGGUUACCAAAAGGCAAAAAAAAAAAAAAAAAAAAAAAAACCCUUCUGCAGUGCACAGAAUAUUAUGUUCAAAGGAAACAUUUCCUUUAGACCUUUGAGAAAACACUGUUAGCAUCAGGCAACAACAACAACAAAAAACUGGAACCCAAGGAAAACAAACUUAUAUGACCUGAAAAUGAGUUGAAGGAGAGUGUUACUAUUUUGUGCCUUUUAAAAAGGGAGAGAAAACCAAAACCCGUGAGAUGCAAUAAAAGUUGAAUUUUGGGUUAAAAAUUAAAAAAUAAAAUAUCUUAUAAUUUAUUGAGUAAAUCAACCCCUUAAGAAAAUUUCAUUGUUCUAACCAAUUCUUUAGUGUAUAAGUGUUUUCUUACAUCAAACCCAAUCUACAGAAACACUACUAUCAUUUCUCUUUAUAGACAACUUAAUCACAUAAAAGUUUUUGAUUUGCUUAUUUAAUAAUCUUCUUAUAGUGACUUAUACAGACCAUUCAUGACAUGCUUGGAUUUUCUGGUUUGUUCUAAAUAUCACUUUUUCUUAAACAACUAGUCAUUUUAUUCUAGGACUAAAUUUACCAUACAAGAUUCUUUCUCAUAUAAAAUUAUUUCUCUUUAAGCUGUCUUACAAAAAAAAAACCUCUUUCUUUUUUUUGGGGGAUGCCCUUAAAUAAAUAUUUUAUUUUGUUUAUAUCAUUGUAGAUACUAGUACCCUUAGUUUAGUAAAAGAAAACUACCACAUGAUCUUUAUUUUUAAAUUCUUGGGUUAAGCUCUGGAGAAUUUUCAUAGGCAAAUUCUGUGUGGGCUGGAACAGUAAGCAC